UAGUAACGGCGAGUGAAGCGGCAACAGCUCAAAUUUGAAAUCUGGCCUCGGCCCGAGUUGUAAUUUGUAGAGGAUGCUUUAGGCGCGGCUCCUUCUGAGUGCCCUGGAACGGGACGCCACAGAGGGUGAGAGCCCCGUAUAGUUGGAAGCCUAGCCUGUGUAAAGCUCCUUCGACGAGUCGAGUAGUUUGGGAAUGCUGCUCAAAAUGGGAGGUAAAUUUCUUCUAAAGCUAAAUACCGGCCAGAGACCGAUAGCGCACAAGUAGAGUGAUCGAAAGAUGAAAAGCACUUUGAAAAGAGGGUUAAAUAGCACGUGAAAUUGUUGAAAGGGAAGCGCUUGUGACCAGACUUGCGCCGGGCUGAUCAUCCGGAGUUCUCUCCGGUGCACUCUGCCCGGCUCAGGCCAGCAUCGGUUCUCGCGGGGGGAUAAAGGCCUCGGGAACGUAGCUCCUCCGGGAGUGUUAUAGCCCGGGGCGUAAUGCCCUCGCGGGGACCGAGGUUCGCGCAUCU
rnacentral:rRNA from 1 species